CACACUAACAACAGUCACCGUGAACCGGCCGGGAGGACUCCGCCUGCGCCCGCGCCUACUGCUGAGCCAUAUUACCAUACGGCCGGUCAGAGGUUGGAGGGUUCAAGUUCCCGCUUCACAAACGGGUUGGUGAAGUUUCUGGAGGUCUGCUUUCGCUUGAAUAUUUGUAUUUAAUUAUUUCAACCAGUUUUACAGCCGAUACGCGCUAAAGAGAGGACGCAAAACCACACACGUAACUAAACCGGCGCGGACACCACGAAGAGGUAGAAUGAUGAUGUACGUGUGAGAUGUUGAUGUGCUUUGGGUGCAAGUGGAAAAAGUAAGGAGCUGCGACCCUAAGCUCUUUUCUAAGGCCCCCCCUGAGGUAAUCAGAAAACCAGGGGACUGAAGGAAGUGAAGUUAUGGUGUUCUGGUGUUCCCAGAUGAGCUGGUGAAGAAGGGGGACAGGUCAGUUCCACUGAUAGUCCACUGCCAGGGAUAAAUCAAGUAACUGAACAGACCAGCCUGGCCCCAGUUACAGAUCUUAGGCCAUCCUCAGAUGUCUGAUGUGACUUUGUGAGUCUGAAGACGGUUGUCCACUUGACAUCGGAGAAUGAUCUGAGGAUGGGCCUGUCUGUGUGGGCCAUUGUGGCCAUCGUUUGUAACUCGGUGGUGAGUGUCCUAAUCCUCAUCCUCUUUGUCAUCCUCUGCAAGGCUUGCAAGGUGCCUUCACACCCAGAGAAAGUGCCAGUUAUCACAGUGAAGCCACAGCAGAGGAAUGCAGAGAAGAAGUAACUGCUGAGUGUGCCCUAGUCCUGACUUAAGACAGAAACAAAAUUCAACUUUGCGGAUCUGCUAGAGGUCUAAUAUUGACCUCCACAAUGACAGAAGACAAGCUGAACCCUGAUAUUUGAUAAUCUUUGUUUUUCCUCUUCCUCUUCAACAGUUAUUUUCAUUUAGUAGCACCUUUUAUCUUACAUACUGUUCACAUCUCUCCGCCAUCAACCCCACUUUAUCUGUACUAUCCAGUGGAGCUCAGAGUAAGCCAACUGUGUUAAUAGCUGUGGCAAGACCAACAUCAACGACAACAAGCAGGCCCAAUCCUCUUAUCUCUGCUGUGAGUCACUGGGACUGACCAUCUGUGAGCUUUGCCCUACACAAGGAAGACCACUGCAUUCUUUGUCAUCCCUCCAUAUGAACCUACUGAGAGGAUGUGGGGGACAAAGCGCAGCAACACAGUGAAUACAAGUAUUUUGGGUGACAGAGUUGGUUGAGAGUCACAAUAACUGGUUAGAAAAAGAGAAAAUGUAGCUCUGCAACUUUCAAGUGGCAUGGUGUUUGCCAGGUGCAGCACUAAAGACGGCAGCAACAGAUGACAGGCAGACACCAAAAGCCUGAAAGAUUCAAGAAGGAGAGAGACGCUGCUGGAGGACAGAUGGUGAUAAAGUGCAGAUAUUUGGUGGGGAUGAUAAAGUGCAGGGGAGGAAUCGUGGAGGGGAUGCUUUGAUGUGCUGUUUACAGAAAAGGGAGCUCCAGGCCUGUUUGACUAUCUCCCCAGCCGACACACAAGCCUCUUCCUCCGCCAGUCUGAUUCCCACGGGACUAAAAGUAACAGCAAAAAUGUUACUUGUGCCUCUCUUUCAUUUUGUGAGCUCAUUUAUAGACUGACAGAAAUGGUAGACUGACUGAACACUCACUGCCUCACAUUAAGAAGUGACUGUUAUAAGCAAAUGUGCUGCAGCUACAAACUGUGUCAUAUCAACAUUUUCUUAAGGAAAGAGGAGAGAGAUGAGAGACACCAGACAGGAUGACAAAAUGAGCCAAUCAGAAUGAGGUCCACAUUCAAAUACAAACUGCUACACAUACAGUGGGUACGGAAAGUAUUC